AAUGAAGUGCCUGAUUAAAGGACCAUCUUGAUAGGGUGAAAUAAGUAGAAUUUCUACCUUCAUUA
rnacentral:tRNA from 1 species